AUGGAGAGUGCCCUGGGGAAUGAAACUGUUUGUUUAUCCACAGAACACGUACAGCAUGGGCACCAGCAGUGUAGGCUUUCCCAUGCUGUUGCAUUGCUGUACUCCUGCCUUGCUCUCCAAUGACUUUCUGUAGGGGUGGGAAGGCAGGUCACAGUCCAGGCCCUGCCCAAACUCCAGGUGUU
ensembl:misc_RNA